UACGUAGGGUGCAAGCGUUGUCCGGAAUUAUUGGGCGUAAAGAGCUCGUAGGCGGUGUGUCACGUCGGCCGUGAAAACCUGCAGCUUAACUGUGGGCGUGCGGUCGAUACGGGCAUCACUGGAGUUCGGCAGGGGAGACUGGAAUUCCUGGUGUAGCGGUGAAAUGCGCAGAUAUCAGGAGGAACACCGGUGGCGAAGGCGGGUCUCUGGGCCGAUACUGACGCUGAGACGCGAAAGCGUGGGGAGCGAACAGG
rnacentral:rRNA from 1 species